UACGAAGGGGGCUAGCGUUGUUCGGAAUUACUGGGCGUAAAGCGCGCGCAGGCGGCUAUCCAAGUCAGUGGUGAAAGCCCGGAGCUCAACUCCGGAACUGCCAUUGAAACUGUUUAGCUUGAGGACGAGAGAGGUGAGUGGAAUUCCCAGUGUAGAGGUGAAAUUCGUAGAUAUUGGGAAGAACACCGGUGGCGAAAGCGGUUCUCUGGGACGGUACUGACGCUGAGACGCGAAAGCGUGGGGAGCGAACAGG
rnacentral:rRNA from 1 species